rnacentral:lncRNA from 1 species
UAGUAGCUGAGGUGCAGAUAGACAAUUCAACCUCCAUUGAAUAGCAAUUAUAGCAUGCAGAUUAAGAAGAUUGCGUCCAGGUCGAGACAUCAGCAAACAAGACAUGAUGGAAACCAAAAGAAUAUUAAAAAAAAAAAAGAUUUAACGCUUAGAACACUCAGAGUAUCUCAUUCUCUAGGGUACCAUAGAAGAUCUCUAUCAAGAAAGGAGAUAUUGAACUGUAAAUCGAGUUCAGAGUUAAAUGCUAUUAACAAACUGAGCUACAAGCCUUUUAUUCAUCAAAUUAUUUUGUCAUUAAUGACAACAAUUACUAGCAACAAAGAUUCCGUUGAGAGAUGCUUGGUAUCUUGUGAAACAUAAUGCCAAAUAGAAGAAGCAAAACUACAGCACAAGUCCAAA